GCCGCCAUAGCUCAGCUGGAGGAGCGGCUGACUUGUAAUCAGCAGGUCGGGAGUUCGAAUCUCCCUGGCGGCU
rnacentral:tRNA from 1 species